rnacentral:rRNA from 1 species
GUUGACCUCGGAUCAGGUAGGAAUACCCGCUGAACUUAAGCAUAUCAAUAAGCGGAGGAAAAGAAACCAACAGGGAUUGCCCCAGUAACGGCGAGUGAAGCGGCAACAGCUCAAAUUUGAAAUCUGGCCCCAGGCCCGAGUUGUAAUUUGCAGAGGAUGCUUUUGGCGCGGUGCCUUCCGAGUUCCCUGGAACGGGACGCCAUAGAGGGUGAGAGCCCCGUACGGUUGGACACCAAGCCUUUGUAAAGCUCCUUCGACGAGUCGAGUAGUUUGGGAAUGCUGCUCUAAAUGGGAGGUACAUUUCUUCUAAAGCUAAAUAUUGGCCAGAGACCGAUAGCGCACAAGUAGAGUGAUCGAAAGAUGAAAAGCACUUUGGAAAGAGGGUUAAACAGCACGUGAAAUUGUUAAAAGGGAAGCGCUUGUGACCAGACUUGCGUCCGGUGAAUCACCCAGCUCUCGCGGCUGGGGCACUUCGCCGGCACAGGCCAGCAUCAGCUUGCCGUCGGGGACAAAAGCUUCAGGAACGUGGCUCCUCUCGGGGAGUGUUAUAGCCUGUUGCAUAAUACCCUUCGGCGGGCUGAGGUACGCGCUCCGCAAGGAUGCUGGCGUAAUGGUCAUCAGCGACCCGUCUUGAAACACGGACCAAGGAGUCAACCUUAUGUGCGAGUGUUUGGGUGUUAAACCCCUACGCGUAAUGAAAGUGAACGCAGGUGAGAGCUUCGGCGCAUCAUCGACCGAUCCUGAUGUUCUCGGAUGGAUUUGAGUAAGAGCAUAUAGGGUUGGACCCGAAAGAAGGUGAACUA